rnacentral:rRNA from 1 species
AUUGGACGCUGGCGGCAUGCCUUACACAUGCAAGUCGAACGGCAUCGCGGGAAAGCUUGCUUUCCUGGCGGCGAGUGGCGAACGGGUGAGUAACACAUCGGAACGUACCGGCUAGUGGGGGAUAACCCGUCGAAAGACGGGCUAAUACCGCAUACGCUCUUCGGAGGAAAGCAGGGGACCUUUGGGCCUUGCGCUAGUCGAGCGGCCGAUGUCCGAUUAGCUAGUUGGUGGGGUAAAGGCCUACCAAGGCGACGAUCGGUAGCGGGUCUGAGAGGACGAUCCGCCACACUGGGACUGAGACACGGCCCAGACUCCUACGGGAGGCAGCAGUGGGGAAUCUUGGACAAUGGGGGCAACCCUGAUCCAGCAAUGCCGCGUGGGUGAAGAAGGCCUUCGGGUUGUAAAGCCCUUUCGGCAGGGAAGAAAUCGGCGGGGCGAAUAACCCUGCUGGAUGACGGUACCUGCAGAAGAAGCACCGGCUAACUACGUG